rnacentral:lncRNA from 1 species
UUAAUCAUGAACUACAAUUAAGACAUUCACUCCAGUAGAUGUAAACCUCCAAUUAGGCAGGUCUGCUGAGUUAUUUGCUUGAAAUAUAAAUAAAUGUAAUGGGGAUUUUCAGAUUUCUCCACACUGUUUCUUCAUGAAAUUGUCACCUGGAUGAAACUUAGAUCAAUGAUUAAAUGUGGGUGACAGAUGCAAAAUUAUUUAAUUUCACUUAAAUACAUUAUCUUGGUGAAAUUUUCUUUUCUUUUUCAAAAUGAAAAAAUAUGAGUGCCAUCAAAGUUUAAGGGAGACAUUUUAACCAUGGUUGUCUUCAUGAGAUAUCUUACUUGCUUUCAGGUAAUGGGUGAUCUUUGCUCAUGACAUGGAUGAUGAUUUUUAACUUUCUUGACAUUGUAUCACUGGAGAUGACUGUUAUGGUUUUGUCAUCUUCCUAAUGAUACACGUACUCAGGUUCUUACAACAUUUUUCUAUCAGCUCUGAAAGUCAUGUCUCUGCAAUCUAAUAUCAUGUUUACAAUUGCAAAUGAACUUAGGACAAAGUAACUCAUUAAUAAUUUGAGUUAUUCUUUCUGGUGUUAUAAUGAUUUUGCAAGGUCUAAGCUAGCCAGAACCUAUAUAGUCACGUGAUUUAUUUUCAAGGACUACGACCAACUAAGGUUGUUGAGACUCAAGGUAUGAUCAGUUUUACAAAAAUCCUUAGUAAUACAUUCAUUAUUAAUAAUGGAUUUCCACGGACUUUUGUGGAAGAAGUUGGUCUUGGCCAUGUAAUGGGAGACCCAAUAUACACCACAAAAGCCAACAUUACAAUAAACCAGAUUAAAAGCAUCCUUUUUUUGUGGGGAGGGGGUGACCUGGAAGUGUGUAAUUUCAGGUCUGACCAGAUGGUACCAUCUUUCAAAGCCCCUUCGUAUACUGAUGUUCAUUUAUAAGUAGGACAGUGGAUAAUGUUUAUUGUUCAACUGUUCCUCUACCUGUUAUAAUUACUAGGAAAAGGAGUGGGAGAAAAUAUGAUAGCCAUCUUAUGUCUUAUAGCACAGAAUGGUUUAUCCAUUGAAUGGCUAUCUUUCAAUGACUAUAUAUUGAGCAGUUACUCUUUCUAUGCUAUGUUAGGCACUGAACUUCAUAGGAAAAAUACAAGGAUAAAUUCUGUUCCUACUGCUAUCCUGACAUAGUAUGUGACCUUAAAAACCACCAAAUGGACUGUUUGUUUCUCUCUGUGUAAAAUAGGGAUAUCAAGACACACAGCCUUAUAUCUCACAUCACCUCAUAUCUUACAGAAGUACUAUGAAGAUUGAUACAAUAUCUUGAUAUGGAUAUAAUAUUUAAGUAAAUUUCUGAAUUAAUACUUUUGGAUAUUGAACUGUUUUUCUCUCUGAGAGGUUUUCUAUAUUACAUUGUCAUUUAUUUCACUCUCAUUGUGAAAACUGAUAAAUAUUAAAAUGUAGUGUACUUUGUUGAAAUUAGAAUUAAAAUGAACAAUUUAAAUGUAGACAGCAUAAUAAUUAUAAAGGUUUAUCUGAUUUAAGUUAUAAUAAUAGAACUUUAGAUAUGCCAUCUAAACUGUCAUCUGUAGGUUUC